UACGUAGGCAGCGAGCGUUGUUCGGAGUUACUGGGCGUAAAGCGUGCGUAGGCGGUGGUCCAAGUCUGGUGUGAAAUCUCCCGGCUUAACUGGGAGGGUGCGCCGGAAACUGGGCCGCUGGAGUACGGGAGAGGCAAGCGGAAUUCCAGGUGUAGCGGUGAAAUGCGUAGAUAUCUGGAGGAACACCCGUGGUGCAGACGGCUUGCUGGACCGUGACUGACACUGAGAAACGAAAGCCAGGGUAGCAAACGGG
rnacentral:rRNA from 1 species